UGAAUUUUACUGCUUCCGGAACUUUCAUUGCCGAUAGCAACACUAUUCGCUGAAGACCAUCUGAACACUGGACCCCAGAAGCCUCUGGUCGCAGGGCCUUGCACUAGCAAAGAACUCUCCUUCCUCCUGCCUCCCUCAGCCGGAGUAUAAGCCUUGCCCACACCCAAGGAGAGGAAGUUACACAACAGCGUGAACACCAGGAGGGCCCUCAGGGGAGUGUGGAGACCCACCUCAGAGGCUGCCGACCACAUGCUCCAUCUGUGCUGCUCUGAUUUCUCUCGACUCUGCCCUCCUCUGUGCAUCCCUGUACAUGGGACUGAAAACAAGAUGGCUGCAGGAUUUACCCCAUAAAAGACUACAUCCUGAGCAAGGGAGCAAGGCCACUUCAAGCUGUGACAUCUGGCACUGCUGCAGCCACCCUGUGUCUAUGAGGUGAGAAGCUAGAGAGCUAGCAGCCAGCAUGCUGAAGACGGCAGAGUGGACGAGGCGUGGACCUUCAACAACAUGGUGGAGCAGCUACACUAAACGUGGAAAUCACAUGGGGCGAUUAUAGGGCUGGUCUGUGUCAGCCAACUGUGCAUUAGUUACUCUUGCUAACAUCUCAACACAUGCGAGUUUGUAAGUUUCUGAUAGGAAAGAAGAAGGGGGCGGUGACUGCUACUAA